UAUUACAAAAUAAACGUAAUAAUGAAAAAAAUACAUGAAGACAUAAUUAUUCUACAAAUUUAAAUAUUACAACAACACCAAUAGCCUAAAAAAUUUGCUUAGAAAUUUCUAAAAUAUUGUCCAAAGAAAUGUUGUAUAACCGAAGAUACUACGGAAAUAAUUUUAUGUAAUACUAUGGUAUUUUUUUGUAGUUUAACAUUUAAUUAUGUAUUUUAUUUAUAAUUUUAUAUUUUAGUAUAAGAUUUUAUUAAUUAAUAUUACUAUAAUAUUUUUAUAUAUGUCCUAGUUAAUUAUAAUUUUUACGGAUUUAUAUUAAAUCUGAUUAAUAUAAAGAUCAUAGUGUAAAUUACAAAUAAUUUUAAAGUUAAAUUUGAAGUUUUGAAUUUGGAAAAGAACACUUUGAAAUUUUAAAUAUAGAAUUUUGAAAACUCUAAAAUAAAUUUUUUUUUUUGGAGAUGUUAUUACGCAUGCUAACGGUCGUAACGAAACGAACAAUAUGUCUUUUUAGUUUUAUCCCAUUUUUGUUAAUUGGUUAAUUGAUACAUGAAUAAUAUGACUGUUUUAUGAUAAAAGAAACAGGAUCGCACAAAAAAAGAAGAUCAGGAUUGUUUUUAAAGAUGCGACAAGUGUGAAAGCAUGCUAGAAUUUUUAUAUAAGCAAUUUAUAUACAAAUGAAAAAUAGGGAUACUAUAUAAUUAUAUCUAGUCAAGUUUUGUUUAAUAUGGCCAAUGUCUCACCUAAACACCUUUUAGACUUUUUUUUUUUUUAUGAAACAUCUUGGACUAUUUUCUUAACUAACUACACAUUUUAAACAUUUUUAUUAAGAACCACAUAAGUACAUAUAUACACAUUAGCAUAAUAAUACAUGAUAUUUAGAACUUAACAACUUUAGCAAGAAACGAGUAAAUUUCUCAUUUUCAUUGACAGAUUUUGUCGACUACGCUUUCCCCGAGUAAAUCUCGUGGAAUUCAAGUUCUUCCAAGUCCUACCAGACAUUUUUCCAAGCUGUACGUAGUGGAAACAAAUUAAUAAAUUUUUAAUAAAUCAAUAUGAAUUUUUAAUAAAUUUUUAUUAUGCAUUUGUUUUCGUUCACUACAUUUAAAUCCUUUGGUGUACCUCCUUCAGUUAUUCAAAGAUGAUUUGUUUAGAACUAUCACACAUAUUAAGAAUAUAACAAAAAUUUUAUAGUUAAACCAAUUAUUUAUUUCUUCUAUACAAUUUCAAAUAAUUAUCAACUAAUAACAUUUAAUCAGUUAGAAAUUCAAUUUAUAUUUUUUUUAAAAUAUAUAACUUAUUAAAUAUUAAUUAAUAAAAAUAUUUUAAAAACCUAAAAUUUUUAUUUUUGUGGAACAAGAAAACCUAUAUAAAAAUAUUUAACGAAGGGGGUAAUGCAUGUAGUAUGUAGACGUAGGCAAAAAAAUUAUAGAGAAAGUACAUCAGUGAAUACUUUAAUCAAAUAUUAAUUAAGAUAAAUAAAAUUUUGAUUACUAUUAGUUAAAUAGAUGUAAAUUGUAAUUAACUGUGUGGCCUGGAAAUUAAGAUAAACAAUUUUCUAUAUAUCCAAGCAAGGUCGCCUAGUGCUAGUUGAGCCAUGAUCUAGAGAAAAACGAAUAUACAUCCUACUGAAUGUAGUUCGUCUGAGUUUAAUUUCUACUGAGAACUAAAUCAUUUUGCUUAAACAUACUUAUGGGUUUUAGUUUUCGUGAUGAACUCGUGGUAGACUUGUCAGAACUAUGUCAACGUGUUACGUGCUUACUGCUCACCUGCAAGACCAGUAGUAGUCGGACUUUAGAGAAAGUAGGCUCUCUACACGUACGCGAGCAAAUCAAUGUGAAUCACAUGCAGCACAGAGAUGGAGGGAGAGAUCUGUUUGUUAGUGAGUUGGUAAGUCGUCGUACGAAGAGGUCAGACGUAAGAAAGAAGUCCGAUCACGUGGACCACAUGCUUCUUCACUAUCCAACCAAACCAAUAUUUAUUUUAUUUUUUCUGGACAUCCCGCUACUAAUAAUAAUAAUCAAUAUAUUAUAUUAUUAUAUACAUUUUUUAUAUAUUAUAUACAUACACUCCAAUAUUUUCGUACAAGACGCCGUAAUAGAAUAUGUAACUAAAUAGUUAGUUCCAUGUGACUAUGAAAAUCUCUCUCCUUCCCCGUUCUCUCUCAUCUAUCCUUCACGGGGAGAGACGAGAUUUGAGAUUUGUCUUGAUGUUCUCCGGAUCCUUUCCGGCGAUCGUCGCCCGUUGAUAGGCUUUGGCUCCGGCACAUGAUGGCAUCUUCUGCAUGAUGUGGCUGGCUUAUGGCUCCGGCGGUUCGCGUUCUUCUCGGCGGAACUGGCCGGCUUUUUGGCUCUGACGGUGGUCGUUCCUCUUUUGGCGAAACCGUCAGCUCUUGGCUCCGGUGACUCGACCUUCCUUCGGUGAUGUCACUGGCUCUGUCUAUGGCGAACCAUCUUCUUCUCUAUUGGUGUCGGUUCUUUCUCCGGGUUUUCUCCGGAAUUUGGCUCUUUGCUUGCGCGCUUCUCUUUGCUCCAAUCAGUUCUGAUCUCUUCAAUUGAUUGAUUCGAGAUUGGUUGAAGGUGAUUGGAACUCUCCAUCUGUAGCGAAGACCGUCUUACUGUCUUCUUUCACUCCUUCUGAGUUGUUGGCGAUUCCGUUGUUCGGGUUUCUGCUCCGGUGUGUCCGGUGAAACUCCGAUUAGGGUUCUGUCGAUGGCUCUCUAGCGGUGAAGGCAGUGUUGGCUUUGUCUUGUCUGAAGUUACCUCGACGGUUUAUCUCUCUUGGCGUCCUGUUCCGGUGUGUCUGGUGGAUGAUCGGAGAGUCGUUCCGGUGGUGACUUCCUCGCCGUGAAGUCGUGUCCAGCCUUCCUGCACGUGUCCCUUUCUCGCUGUGGCGUAUUACGCGUGGCAGGAGUUGCGGCUUUGUUGGGUUUCCUCUGGACUAGGGUUUUGUUUGGGCCUCUUUGGGUUUUUCUGCCUUUUUCGAUUUUGGUUUGGUUGGGCCUUUGGGCUUCUUGUAUUUGGCUUGUUCUUUUAGGCUUUUGCCAUUAUAAUAAUAGAGGAAAAAAAAAAAAUAGUUAGUUCCAUGUUGAUUGAUACAUUUCUAGUUUAGGUAAUAUUUUAAUAUUUACCCAGGAUUGUAAAUCACAUGGGAUUUAGCAUAAUGUUCGGAAACUAAUGGUAUACAUGUUCUUUUUUUUUUUGAGAAAUCUAAUGUUGUACAGGUUACAGUACAAAUACACCAAUCAUACCAAAAAAAAAAAAUUUUAUACACCAGCCUAACAUCAAGUAAAAUCCAGAAAAAUGUUACCAACUUGGAAGAGGUUUUAAAAAAAAACUUGGAAGAGGCACUCUACUGACUAUUCAAAGCAUCACUACUCAACUCAGAGAAGAAAAAAAAAACAUAAAGAGAAAAGAAAUACAAAAAUCAAAAUAUCUGAAGCUGAUAAAACCAUUCCGUCCGUCUCAUAAGAAAUGUCAUUUUAACAUUUUCAUACAAAUUAAGAAAAUAAAUAAAAUAUAUAUUUUUUUUAAUUACAUCUAUUUAAUCAACAGUAACUGAAAUAUAUAUAUUUUAUAAGAUUAUGUAUUUGCAAUUAAUAUUAAAAUUAACGUAAGUAUAAAUUGUAUUUAAAUUCUAAAAUAAUAUUAUUUUUUUGUAGCAAAAAAAAUUAGAAUGAUAGUUUUAUGAAAUAGAAGAGUAUGUGUUAAACAUGGUGACGUUGAACAUCUCCAACCAUUUUCUACUAUAUUUUUCUCUAAAAUAUAGAUGUCAAAAUAACAUUUUUAUAUAUUUGUUUAAAAAAAUAGAAAAGUACUACAUUAUAGUGGUAUACAUUACAAUAAAACCCACAUUUGUAAUACAGUUUCUCUAUUUAAAAAAAAACAGAGAUAAACUGAAAAUAAUUUUAUGAACCAAGGAUGAAAUUUGUGUUGGACUCAGUUUUUUUCUAACAUGGUUGGUUUUAUUCCUAAUCAGUUGACCCGUACCUGAUUAGGAAUGCGAUGAAGCUCAUCGUAACCAAGUAAGAAACAUGAUGACGAUCUUGAUGAUAGAUUCGAACAUUCUUUUCAUUCAACAAGUCAUACAUCGCGAAAAGGUUUGGUGAAUCAGAAAUGGGUCAUGCCAUUCAAGUUUCCAGUGAAUGAUAGCAUGUUCACCAAUUAAAUCACAUGGGUGUUGUUGGGUGGCGUAUGGCGUUUCAGGUUUCUAAAAGACCUGGAUUCGAAUCUGCGCCAACCUAGAUUUAGCCAUCUAUGUGGCAAGGCGACAUGAAUAUCUAAUUCUCCUUGGAACCAACCAGGUCUGGCUGGCGCUAGUGAUCAGACCCCAAAGAGACUAGUCGGUUGGAUCCGCCUGCCGGAUACUCUCGGUUAUAAAAAAAUAUGUUUCCAAUUAUAUAAACCCAUACAAUGAAAAAUAUAGACAUGCAAAUAAAAGAUUGACUGACACUCAGUCAUAUUUUCACAAGAAAAAUGGUUGGAAACUCUCUCUCAUCUUUUUAUAAUAGUAAUAUUGUUAUCUA